GCCCGGUUAGCUCAAUCGGUAGAGCGUGAGGCUCUUAACCUCAAGGUUGCGGGUUCGACCCCCGCAUCGGGCU
rfam:Spizellomyces punctatus DAOM BR117 chromosome Tnknown supercont1.8, whole genome shotgun sequence.